rnacentral:lncRNA from 1 species
AGGAGAAAGUCGAGAGGGAGGGAAGAGGAGGCGGUCCUGAUUCUCCACUUUACUGCCCAUUCCUUCUCCCUUGCUGAAACAUCCAGCCGGUGCCUUUGUGGCCUCUUGGGCUGGGUUGCAAUCUCAUGCCAACCCGCUUGCCGGUUGUCAGGAGGCCUCUGGGGAGGACGCUGCAGGAGCCUCAAACGCCACCUACUCCCGGCCUCUCUCCCGGUUGAUGUUUCUAUUUUGGGCACCACAUUAUUUCCUGCUGUGAUUUUUUUUUUCAGGCUUCUAAUUCAGGCUCUGAGGAAUGGGAGUCCAACGCUUCCGUGUCCGAAGUCUGUUUAACUAUAUUUGGACAAUGACCCUUUAGAGAUGCUGAUAAAGGCUACACAGAAUCCCAGAAACUGUCCACAACAAACUCACAGCAGACAAAAUGGUAAAGCUCCCGGGAGUCUCACCCAUCCCAGUCCAUGGGGGUGACUUUAGCUGAGACUCCUAGCAGUGAGGAUAUGGAGCCUGUUGUGCUUGUAGACAGGAGCCUAGCAUAACUCCUCUGACAGCUACCCAGCAGCUGACUGAAACAGAUGCUGAGUCCCACAGUCAAACAUUAAAUGGAGCUUGGGGACUCUUGUGGAAGAGUUGUGGGAAGGAUUGCAGGCCCUGAAGGAAAUAGGAACUCUACAAGAAGACCAACAAAGUCAACUAACCUGGACCACUAGGGGCUCCCAGAAACUGAACCAUCAACCAAAGAGCAUACACAGGCUGGACCUAGGCCUCCUUGCACAUAUGGAACAGAUAUGUAGCUUGGUCUUCAUGUGGAUCUCCCAACAACUGGAGCAAGGGCUGUCCCUGAAUCUGUUGCCUGCCUGUGGGUCCUGUUCCCUUAACUAGGCUGCCUUGUCUGGCCUCAGUGGGAAAGGAUGUGCCUAGCCCUGCAAAGACUUGAUGUACCUAGGUUGGGGGAUAACCGAGGGAAGAGGGAGGGUUCCAUCUUCUCAGAGGAAAAGGGGAUGGGGGACUGUGUGAAGGAGGUACGGGGAGAGGGGAGCAGCAAUUGGGAUGUAAAGUGAAUAAAUAUAUAUAUCAAUGAAUAAGUAGGAAAAACGAUCAAGUUCCUCACAUGGCUGAAAGUGAAAGAGGCAGCGUCUUUUAAAAGGUCUUGGUCACUGGAGGUUUUUUUUUGCUUUUGAAUCACAUGCACCUUGUCUGCUGUUGCCUUUAUGAACAUGUAACAUCCAAUAAAUUUUGUUUUUUAAAUCUUUAUCAUA